rnacentral:misc_RNA from 1 species
GAAAUGCGAUAAGUAGUGUGAAUUGCAGAAUUCAGUGAAUCAUCGAAUCUUUGAACGCACAUUGCGCCCCUUGGUAUUCCAUGGGGCAUGCCUGUUCGAGCGUCAUCUACACCCUCAAGCUCUGCUUGGUGUUGGGCGUCUGUCCCGCCCCCGCGCGUGGACUCGCCCCAAAUCCAUUGGCAGCGUUCCUUGCCCCCUCUCGCGCAGCACAUUGCGCUUCUCGAGGGCGGCUCCGGGACGUGAUCCAGCAAGAUGACCACCGUCUUUGACCUCGGAUCAGGUAGGGAUACCCGCUGAACUUAAGC